rnacentral:rRNA from 1 species
GAUGAACGCUGGCGGCGUGCUUAACACAUGCAAGUCGAACGGAAAGGCCAGGGCUUGGACUGGUACUCGAGUGGCGAACGGGUGAGUAACACGUGGGUGAUCUGCCCUGCACUUUGGGAUAAGCCUGGGAAACUGGGUCUAAUACCGGAUAGGACCAUGGUUUGGAUGCCGUUGUGUAAAGUUUUUUCGGUGUGGGAUGAGGUCGCGGCCUUUCAGCUUGUUGGGGGGGGAAUGGCCUACCAAGGCGGCGUCGGGUGGCCGGCGGGAGAGGGGGUAAGGCCACAGUGGGACUGAGAGACGGCCCAGACUCUUACGGGGGGCAGCAGUGGGGAAUAUUGCACAAUGGGGGCAAGACUGAUGCAGCGACGCCGCGUGGGGGAUGACGGCCUUCGGGUUGUAAACUCCUUUCGCUAGGGACGAAGCGUAUUUGUGACGGUACCUGGAGAAGAAGCACCGGCUAACUACGUG